rnacentral:rRNA from 1 species
GACGAACGCUGGCGGCGUGCUUAACACAUGCAAGUCGAACGGUGAAGCGCCUUCCUUUUUGGUGGGUGUGGAUGAGUGGCGAACGGGUGAGUAACACGUUCGUAACCUGCCCCCUUCUUCUGGAUAACCGCAUGAAAGUGUGGCUAAUACGGGAUAUUCUGGGUCUGUCGCAUGAUGGGUCUGUGAAAGAUAUUGUUUCGGUGGGGGAUGGGCUCGCGGCCUAUCAGCUUGUUGGUGGGGUGAUGGCCUACCAAGGCGGUGACGGGUAGCCGGCCUGAGAGGGUGGACGGUCACACUGGGACUGAGACACGGCACAGACUCCUACGGGAGGCAGCAGUGGGGAAUAUUGCACAAUGGGCGCAAGCCUGAUGCAGCGACGCCGCGUGAGGGAUGGAGGCCUGCGGGUUGUGAACCUCUUUCGCCAGUGAAGCAGGCCUGCCUCGUUUGUGGGUGGGUUGACGGUAGCUGGAUAAGAAGCGCCGGCUAACUACGUG